CAUUAGGUUGGCCUUUUGUGUACCCAAGAUAGGUGAAGGAAGUCAACUUAGGAGCUCUGUGAUUGGAUGUAAGGGUACAAUAUAUUUUUUUUUAUUUAUCUAUGAAUAACUGCAGUGUGUAAAUUUACAAUAUAAAUUUUAAAACCUAUUGAAAUAUUUUCUAGAGAAUUAUUUGAAAAGACUUCCAAAAUUUCAUAAAUUUGG
rnacentral:lncRNA from 1 species